UCAUCUGCUGUGGGUGUUCCUGAUCUUUGAGCCAUGAUAAUGUUACUGGUUGGAUGUCAGGAGCAGGCCAUGUGGAUGAUUAAAAGAUGAAUAUCAUAUACAGCAUGGAUAUGUUGGACAAAAAGAUGAUUCACAUCCCAGACAGAAUGGAGCAGCACAUUUAUUAAAAGCCAGAAGCUAGAAGACGAGGAAAGAAGAGGUGGUUAAAGAAAGAUACAGUAACAGCAGUAAUAUCUAACAGGAAGGCUACAGGGGAAAAUACAGAAAUUCCAUAAAGAACAAACACUGUAACUCAAAACCAAAGCUUUGCUAGUCACUAGUGCCCGCUACAUCCUAACAGAUGCAGCUGGAGAGCCUGGGGUGAGAACAUGAGCAGUCUAUAAUCAGAAAAUCCCUUUGGGAUAAAUUGACAAAAAUAUAAACCACUCCACAAAGGAGAAAUUGUAAAUGGUAAACAAAAGAACGUGACACCCUGAAUUGGAUGAAGAAAUAUCUUGUCUGGAAGAGAAACUGAAAACAGGAAUACUCAGAAAGACUGAAAAUAAGAGGAUGGAGAAAAUAUGUCAAGCAUUUUCUAAAAUUCAACGAGUGCUGACAGACAGGUGUCAACACCGCAACAGAGCUGGGUCAAGGUCGGACGUAUAAUAGAACAGCAGCAGCAGCAGAGGUAGGAGGAAGGAUGUAGCAGCAGCCGAAGGAGACACCGUGAGGCCAGGUCAGGGGCCCAGGAGCCUCCGCGUGGACAGCUUCAGCUCCAUCCAAGCUGCCGGAUUGGAGGGCGCCUGCCCCCAGCAGCAGGUGGCCUUAAAGAUUCAGCUCUGAGAAACAAAUGUGGAGGGGGUUUGUGGAGGGAUUAUUGUGGGGUGCGUGGGGCCCUCUGAGGUGAUCUGCUGCAGAAUAACUAAUACCUAUUGUAACAGAGGAGUAUAGAUUUAUAAAAUACAUGACAAAUGCUUAAUAAAAAAGAAAAAAGUGAAAUGAAAAAUGAAGAUCAGAGUGGUAGACAAAG
rnacentral:lncRNA from 1 species